rnacentral:lncRNA from 1 species
AUGCAACCACUCCGCUGUUACUAGGAAGAUACAGUCUGACACUGUCAACUCCGCUGGGGAUAUAUAGUCUGGAUACUGUCAACUCUACUGGGGAUAGACAGUCUGGAUACUGUCAACUCUGUUGGGGAACAUGCUCUGCUGAGGAGAGACUUUGUCAACCGCUUGGGGAUGAGGAUUCAUGACUUGGCAUCCGGUUCCUGUGACCUGCAACCAAAAAUACACGUAUGCCUCGGGGGAAUUACUCGGUUUGA